rnacentral:rRNA from 1 species
CAGCGAGCUGGGAUGCUUAAGUGCAAACCGACGACUACACCCAUGUCUACCACUGAUAAGCUCAAUGCUGUUGAUGGUGUGCUUCUUUCUUCUUCUGAUGCGACCGAGUACCGGAGUAUUGUUGGUGGGCUCCAGUACUUGACGAUCACGCGACCAGACAUUUCCUAUGCUGUUAACCGAGUCUGCCAGUAUCUGCAGUCACCCCGUGACACUCAUUGGUCUGCUGUUAAGCGGAUUUUGCGCUAUAUUCGUUUCACGGUGGCUCAUGGUUUGCAUAUUCGGCCAUCUGACUCUGGUUGUCUUUCAGCAUAUUCUGAUGCAGACUGGGCUGGCAAUCCGGAUGACAGGCGAUCCACGGGGGGUUAUGCUGUCUUCUUUGGCUCUAACCUGAUUGCCUGGAGUGCUCGGAAACAGGCUACUGUCUCGUGUAGCAGUACUGAGGCUGAGUAUAAGGCUGUGGCCAAUGCCACAUCAGAGAUUAUCUGGGUACAGUCCUUGCUUCAGGAGUUAAGUAUACCCCAAUCACAGCCUCCGGUUCUUUGGUGUGAUAACAUCGGUGCUACAUACCUUUCUGCA